AUGAACGCUGGCGGCGUGCCUAAUACAUGCAAGUCGAGCGAACAGAUGAGGAGCUUGCUCCUCUGACGUUAGCGGCGGACGGGUGAGUAACACGUGGAUAACCUACCUAUAAGACUGGGAUAACUUCGGGAAACCGGAGCUAAUACCGGAUAAUAUAUUGAACCGCAUGGUUCAAUAGUGAAAGACGGUUUUGCUGUCACUUAUAGAUGGAUCCGCGCCGCAUUAGCUAGUUGGUAAGGUAACGGCUUACCAAGGCAACGAUGCGUAGCCGACCUGAGAGAGUGAUCGGCCACACUGGAACUGAGACACGGUCCAGACUCCUACGGGAGGCAGCAGUAGGGAAUCUUCCGCAAUGGGCGAAAGCCUGACGGAGCAACGCCGCGUGAGUGAUGAAGGUCUUCGGAUCGUAAAACUCUGUUAUUAGGGAAGAACAAAUGUGUAAGUAACUAUGCACGUCUUGACGGUACCUAAUCAGAAAGCCACGGCUAACUACGUG
rnacentral:rRNA from 1 species